GGCCUUUGAAAAUUGGUAUGAGAGAGAGGGCGACAUUAGGGUUACGGGGCUUAUUUAAUUGGUGGGAGGCAGAGAGUAGGGUUUGAACUUUGAAGUGAAAGGGGAUGGCGAAGUUUAAUGUGGUGCAAAAGCGAAGGAGAAGUCAAAUAGCAGAGAAGAAGAGGCAAGCACACGGAGACCCUUCCACUGGAAAGCUCAAGGUUAGGACCCAACCCCUUUCCAUCUCUGGAAAACGCAAACGCAAGCUCCUCAAGCAAUGGAGACGAGACCAAAAGGAUGCCUUAAACCAGGGUUUGAUAACCACUGAUGAUGUUCAAAUGUCACUUCCUCCUACAUCUUCUGCAAAAAUUCACUUGAAGAAGAAGACCAAGAUCAAAAUUAAGGCCAAAGGUAUUCAUUCAUUUUUCCCAUCUACCACUGCUUCUUUUUGUGACUGCACAUCUCAACUAUCCACUGUUUCAUUCGCUCUAGGUCACACAUAUUUUUUGGAUAUUUUAUAUUUCCAUAAGCCUUAUCAUUGUUUCGAAAUUUUAAUAUGUCUUUUGGCCACCAAUACUUUAGCUAGGGUUUCAUUCCACUAAUGAAACAACACCCAAACAAUGGAACACCGCUAUAACUAUUUUCAUUCCUACCCCCUUAUCCCAUUCAUCCAAUCCAAACAUACCACUCCAAUAUAUGUGUUUCAUAUCCUCUGCAUCACUAAUUACUGAUCAGAUGAUUCACCAGACAGAUAAAUAAGUGAAAUGGCAUGAUCUGUUUCAUUACAUGGUAUCUUAUUAUGAGUAUUUAGAUUUUUUGUAGGAAAUAUUUAGAUUCUAGAGAUUGAAUAUGAUUUAUGAUACUUAUAAAAAGGAUGAAGGGAGAAUUUGUUCCUUGGGGACAGGGCAUCUAAAAAGGAUGAAUGAGAUGAAUGUGAUUUAGAUAUUUAGACCAGCUUUGGCUAAUGUGUUCAUUGGGUAGAGGGCAUCUUUUUUUUGUUUUGAUCAGCGGCAAUUGUUUGUAUGUUAGUAUUUGUGGUGGGUAGGAAUUGAACUCUCAAUCUCUUUUAACUCUCCACCCAAGUGUUAAUAUGUUAGUUUUUCAUAGUGGG
rnacentral:lncRNA from 1 species